rnacentral:rRNA from 1 species
AAUCCCNUUGGGGAAUUUUCCGCAAUGGGCGAAAGCCUGACGGAGCAAUACCGCGUGAGGGAGGAAGGCUCUUGGGUUGUAAACCUCUUUUCUCAGGGAAUAAAAAAAUGAAGGUACCUGAGGAAUAAGCAUCGGCUAACUCCGUGCCAGCAGCCGCGGUAAUACGGAGGAUGCAAGCGUUAUCCGGAAUGAUUGGGCGUAAAGCGUCCGCAGGUGGCACUGUAAGUCUGCUGUUAAAGAGCAAGGCUCAACCUUGUAAAGGCAGUGGAAACUACAGAGCUAGAGUACGUUCGGGGCAGAGGGAAUUCCUGGUGUAGCGGUGAAAUGCGUAGAGAUCAGGAAGAACACCGGUGGCGAAAGCGCUCUGCUAGGCCUGUACUGACACUGAGGGACGAAAGCUAGGGGAGCGAAUGGGAUUAGAUACCCCAGUAGCCAAAGGGG